AAGAACCCAAGUGAUUAUUUGGGUAGAUAUUAUAGAGGAACAUGCCAGCAAAGACACCAUCAUAUCAUCCAUUUCUCAUUAUAAUACAAAACCAGAAACACAAACCAUUAAUUAUUAGUCAUCACAGACUAGACUCCAAGAUGACAAAUUGAACAAAGUCUACAUUUUAGCAGAACAGUCAUUUCAUCCUACACACUCAUGCCUAUAUUUUCCAACUAGAGAAUCGCACUUAACAUCUCAUUCCAGAUAUCAGGUACCCCAGGGAGGCACCAAUGGCUACAGUCUGAAGAAAAGCCUGUUGGGUGUUGCCUUUCUUCUUGGCUUAUUACCCUUCUAUACACAGAAGGAUGCCCAUCUCUACGCAGAGCAGAUAUUGUUGUGAUAUCCUGUAAAUAUACUGGAAAACUCAUCUUUCUAAGUACUUCUUUCAAUACCACCAAUUGUUCAGGAACAUGCUGGUGACUGAAAAAUGCUAAAGGCUCCCUUUGUUUAUAGCAUUUCCAACCAUUUUCCCUGCAAAGAUAAUUUGGCGAUUAAAGGCUCCCACUGUGCUUAAGAUCAUAAUGGCAUUGUUGUUGGAACUGUUAUGCCUAGGAGACAUGCUUCGAAAAAUGACUUUGGUUGUGCGAGGAUCAAUAUUUAAGUCAAUCCAUUUUGCCCAUGUAGUGAGUCCCUUCUCAUAAGCAAUCAUUGGAUUCAUACUUUUGAUGAGAGACUGUCCCUCCAUGUAGUAAUCCCACGAACUCCAUUGAUCAGAAUGAGUCCACCAGUGAGCUGAAUCAAACACAAGGAUAUCAACAUUCCUCCAAUAUCUUGCAUUCUCUUCAAUCAUAUCCAAAUGCAGGAUUCUCUUGUUACCAGGCCCUUUCUUCAAUUCUACAAGUAGUGGAGCCCAAGUGAACUCAAUUGUUGUCUCAAAAUCCAAAGCAUGGAAUGCCAUUGAAGGACCAUUAUAGCUAACCAUCUUAUGCCCAUUUGGAAUCACUCCUUGUACUAAGCAAACAAGAGAUUCCCAUUGGUUCCUCAUAAUAGAAUCACCUACUAACAUUAUUCUUUUCCUUCUCAUUCUUCCAAGAAAUUUCAACGCAUCAAACCUUGGAAUAGAGCAGCCAUGGGGCUUCCAUCUCCACUUCUCAUAGUCAGAGUCAGGCCUUCCAUUUUUUUGGCAAGUGACAGCUGUACUAAGAUAAGGGCAAGUAGAAUCAUAGAGAGGAUAUGACUGAUCAUAAACCCAUUUCCCAUAAGUGAAGUCACAGCUACUUGAAGAAUCAUGCCUGGUUUGAGCCAUGUCUACUUCACUAUCCUCCUCAUUGAUCCAGGACAACCCAUCAUCCUCUUGAUCUAAGCCAAGCUGAAAAGAUUUGCCAUUGGAGAAACAUAGAAAAACAGUGAAGAACAAGACCAAGAACUGAUGAUGAAGCUUAGGUUUAGCCAUUGAAGAAGCUAAAGUGGAAGCUCAGAAUGAAGGGUCUCAAGUGGAGAAGUGUUGAAGAAGAAGAAGGUCCCCCUAAUCAUUCACGCUCAAUCGAUUGCCCAAAUAGCUAGGGUUUUUCCCUCCUAGGGUUUUCGCUUUCACCCAAAUUCGUGAACCGUCGUUUUUCCGAUCACCAGUCAACCAUGACAGGAAAGGCGAAGCCAAAGAAGCAUACGGCAAAGGAGAUCGCGUCAAAGGUCGACGCGGCGACGACGAACCGGGGCGGAGGGAAGGCGGGGCAAAAGGACAGGACUGGCCAAGACAAAGGAGGUCACGCUAAGUUUGAGUGUCCUCACUGCAAAACCACUGCGCCGGAUGUGAAAUCUAUGCAGAUCCAUCACGAUGCUCGCCACCCGAAGACCCCUUUCGAGGAAGAUAAGCUCGUGAAUUUACAUGCUAAUCAUGUCGCCGAUUCCUCUACGUCGCGUCCUGGUGUUAGGGGUAGCUUCAAAAAGUGAAGGGUGAGGACGAAGGUUAUAAAGAUUACAACUUCCCAUGUUUUCUGGUUUCUUUUUUUUCUGGGUACUAUUGUGUUUGUGUUUUUGUCUUGCUUUGUGUUGUUGGGAAGCUAUGAUGAUAUUAAUUCUCAAGGAAGUUUCUAGCUUCUGCUCUGAUCGUGGAAUGUAUAUUACAUAUAUUAUUAUGAUAUUUAUGAAGCGCUUAUUCCCUAUGGUUAAUUUUGUUGAAAUUAAUGGUUGUUGCAAUUGAAGUAUUUUGUUUGUAAUUUGGUUGUGUAUGCCUAUAAUUAUUCUGUGUGGUAGGCAAAGUGGAUUAUGGUUUGAUCUUCAAUAUUGAUUUUCUGCGUGGAGUUAGAAUAUGCUUACUCUACUAUGGAUCUUACCCAUGCGAACUAAUAGGUUUUGGGAUGAAGUGACGAUCUGCAUUAAUCUUCUGGCUGGUAGACGAGGAGUGAGUACUUGGCAGAGCAGAUUUUUACAGGCUGAACUGAUAUGAAAAGAUCAAAUUUUUAUUUAUAGCCAUCGAGUGUUUAAGUGGCCAAAGAAACCUAAUUGGGUAAUUUGUAUAAUACCAAAUUUCCGAUUCAAUUAAGAGAUUAUUUUAAGCAAAUUGAGUAUGCAAU
rnacentral:misc_RNA from 1 species